AAGCACGUCAGUAGUUAAGGGCUAAAAAAAGUCCUCAAUUUUUUUUAAAUAUUAUUUUAUUCAGGCCCAUAGUUGCAGGCUUGACUCGAAAAUUGCAGUAUUCAACACCACUCUGCUAAACCAGAAAACCAAAGGUAUAGUUGCAGCGUCAUCUCGAGGAUUGCUUCAAUAUUGGUCUUCUAAACCAGAAAGCCAAAGGACAAAAUAGGUUCGCCAUAUUCUUUAUAGUUUUCAGCACUCACACAUUAAAAAAAGAAUAAUCUGAGGAGAAUAACCAAGUAAAAUCCGACGGACAAAAUAAUGAUGGGAUUUCAAGAUGUACAAAAGAAUCAUCUUUAAUUUGGUCUUUGCCAUCAAUCAUGAGAAAUAUUGUUAUAUUUUCGGAAAAUUGAUGCUUACGAUGUUUUGUCAAAAACCCGUCGAUAUUGAAACAGAAUAAAAAUAUAAACGUCUAAUAAAUUUUAUUCAAC
rnacentral:lncRNA from 1 species